rnacentral:misc_RNA from 1 species
GAAAUGCGAUAAGUAGUGUGAAUUGCAGAAUUCAGUGAAUCAUCGAAUCUUUUAACGCACAUUGCGCCCCUUGGUAUUCCAUGGGGCAUGCCUGUUCGAGCGUCAUUUGUACCCUCAAGCUCUGCUUGGUGUUGGGUGUUUGUCCCUUCUCCGCGCGUGGACUCGCCCCAAAGUGAUUGGCAGCCGGCGUACUGGUCCCGGAGCGCAGCACAUGUCGCGCAAACGAGUGCCUUGGUACGGCGGCGUCCAUAAGCCCCUCUCUCACGCUCUUGACCUCGGAUCAGGUAGGGAUACCCGCUGAACUUAAGC